CCGAGUUAUCACAACUCCAACCCUUUGUGAACCUUACCGUCGUUUCCUCGGCGCACUGCUGUGGGAGGCUACCCUGUAGCGGUUGUUUACCCUACAGGACGCACCCUGCAGCGGCGCCGAAAGGACUAUCAAAACUCUUUUAUCCAAGUUACCUCGAACAAUUUACUAUACAAUAGUUUA
rnacentral:misc_RNA from 1 species